rnacentral:other from 1 species
UGGUGCCUGGAAUGUUCGCUGCCUCCGUUUUUGAACCUUCAUGACAUUAACGGGAGCUCGGGUCAGAUGGAAUACGGUCACAUCUCCGGAUUUCGGUCCGACAGGGAAAGGCCAAAGACCGCUGCAGGGCACCCACCUAGUAUAUAGCGCUAGGUGUCAAAAGGAGGGGGCGGCAUUUCGGGUUUUCU